UUAAAAGCACUGAAUAAGAGUAGUAGUAAUUAAAAAGUUAUUUAGAGAGAAAGUGGUUGGUGAAAACUUUUUAACUUUAGUUACGAACUUGCUUAGGAGCUUCUUAUAUGACAAGUAUAAGACGGAUGUGACCGUUAUCGCAUUAGAGGUAAUAAAAGUAUUAUAAAAUAAGGUGGUACCGCGUUUAUGACGCCCUUAUA
rnacentral:ncRNA from 1 species